UACGAAGGGGGCUAGCGUUGUUCGGAAUUACUGGGCGUAAAGGGCGCGUAGGCGGCUUCGAUAGUCAGGCGUGAAAUCCCCAGGCUCAACUUGGGAAUUGCGCUUGAUACUGCGAGGCUUGAGUGAGGGAGAGGAUAGUGGAAUUCCCAGUGGAGAGGUGAAAUUCGUAGAUAUUGGGAAGAACACCAGUGGCGAAGGCGGCUAUCUGGACCUCAACUGACGCUGAGGCGCGACAGCGUGGGGAGCAAACAGG
rnacentral:rRNA from 1 species